GACGAACGCUGGCGGCGUGCCUAACACAUGCAAGUCGAGCGAAGUGAGUACUACGGUACGAACUUAGCGGCGGACGGGUGAGUAACGCGUGGACAAUCUACCCUGUAGACUGGGAUAACACCUCGAAAGGGGUGCUAAUACCGGAUAAUGUCGAGAAGCGGCAUCGCUUUUCGAAGAAAGGAGAGAAGCCGCUAUAGGAUGAGUCCGCGUCCCAUUAGCUAGUUGGCGGGGUAAAAGCCCACCAAGGCGACGAUGGGUAGCCGGCCUGAGAGGGUGAACGGCCACACUGGAACUGAGACACGGUCCAGACUCCUACGGGGGGCAGCAGUGGGGAAUAUUGUGCAAUGGGGGAAACCCUGACACAGCGACGCCGCGUGAGUGAAGAAGGCCUUCGGGUCGUAAAGCUCAAUAGUAUGGGAAGAUAGUGACGGUACCAUACGAAAGCCCCGGCUAACUACGUGCCAGCCGCCGCAGUAAAAC
rnacentral:rRNA from 1 species